rnacentral:rRNA from 1 species
CCUACGGGCGGCUGCAGUGGGGAAUAUUGGACAAUGGGCGAAAGCCUGAUCCAGCCAUGCCGCGUGUGUGAAGAAGGCCUUCGGGUUGUAAAGCACUUUCAGUGGGGAAGAAAGCCUUGGGGCUAAUACCCUCGAGGAAGGACAUCACCCACAGAAGAAGCACCGGCUAACUCCGUGCCAGCAGCCGCGGUAAUACGGAGGGUGCGAGCGUUAAUCGGAAUUACUGGGCGUAAAGCGCGCGUAGGCGGUCUGAUAAGCCGGUUGUGAAAGCCCCGGGCUCAACCUGGGAACGGCAUCCGGAACGGUCAGGCUAGAGUGCAGGAGAGGAAGGUAGAAUUCCCGGUGUAGCGGUGAAAUGCGUAGAGAUCGGGAGGAAUACCAGUGGCGAAGGCGGCCUUCUGGACUGACACUGACGCUGAGGUGCGAAAGCGUGGGUAGCAAACAGGAUUAGAUACCCGGGUAGUC